AUUCUGGAUUACAAAAUGAACCCAAGGAAAAACUCCUGAGGUGGAUUCUCACUAGCGAAGGAAGCCAAUUCAAGUUCUCCAAGACAAGUUCGUAAUAUGGACCGAAGUACAACAACUAAGGACGAUCAUGACCCUCCAAGUCCAUCAAUAAAUCAGAAAGGGACUGGACAGGACAGACUGAAACAGCACAUGGAAGAGAUUUCAAAUAAA